AGUGGGGAAUAUUGGACAAUGGGCGCAAGCCUGAUCCAGCCAUGCCGCGUGAGUGAUGAAGGCCUUAGGGUUGUAAAGCUCUUUCACCGAUGAAGAUAAUGACGGUAGUCGGAGAAGAAGCCCCGGCUAACUUCGUGCCAGCAGCCGCGGUAAUACGAAGGGGGCUAGCGUUGUUCGGAAUUACUGGGCGUAAAGCGCACGUAGGCGGAUAUUUAAGUCAGGGGUGAAAUCCCAGAGCUCAACUCUGGAACUGCCUUUGAUACUGGGUAUCUUGAGUAUGGAAGAGGUAAGUGGAAUUCCGAGUGUAGAGGUGAAAUUCGUAGAUAUUCGGAGGAACACCAGUGGCGAAGGCGGCUUACUGGUCCAUUACUGACGCUGAGGUGCGAAAGCGUGGGGAGCAAA
rnacentral:rRNA from 1 species